UAUUUUUAUGUUCUUGAGUCAGUUUUACAUUGAUUAGCAUCCCUACUUAAUCCCCGGUUAGAACGAUCCCUAUUUGCUCAUAUACUACAAUUGUCAUCCAUAGGGUUUAAUUUGUGUGUCAAGUUAAUUUUCACAUCAGAAUUCACAUGCAAUCAUAAAAGGGAAAAUCAGUUUUUGUAACAUGCUUGAAGGAAGGAACUCAAACUAACGCUACAACCUUGUUAGACUUGAGCCUAAAUGUUUAUUUGGAGAGUUAAAAUCUGUGCAUUCUUUGUUUUCUAAGUCGUUGCAUGAUCUCAUUAUUCCUUGCUUGGUUGCUACUUAGAAGGCGUUUCAUCAUUUAGUUCCAAAUGCUAGAACUCAUGCCCAUUUCAUUCAAAGCAUGUCAUUGAAUUGCAUAACACAUAUUCAAGAUGAAGUUGUGUAGGGACCACCACCUUAGCCAAAAAGCCGUGUGCCCUACUCCAUUAUAUGUUUAAGUUUAACCCCGUUGAGCCUUGUUUAGCCUUUUCUUUGUUAACCCACAUUACCCUCACCUAGCCUAGAUUAGGACUAUCCAUACCCUUGUUCUUGAAGCAUAGUAAAGCAUGAUUCAAAUUGAAUUCCUUUUGAUUUAUGUUGGCAGAAAACAAGUGUGGGGGAAGUAUUUCUUUUGUGAUUUUGUGUGCCAUAGGCACGUGUGGCUAAAAGAAAAGAAAAGAAAAAAAAGUCGUGGAAAAAGAAAAAAAAUGAAGAAAAAAGUGUGAAAAGUAUGAAAAAAAAAAAGUUGAAAAGAUGUGAAAAAGAGUUUCAAAGUAUUGAUUGUUGAAGUAAGGGUCCAAAACAAUGAAUUCGGCCCUAAAGAGUUCUCUAAAUCUUUCCCUUGUGUUUUAAAGUUAAUUUCUGCAAUCUAAGUGAAUUCUAAGUCUCAAUUUCACUGCCUUGCUUACUAUUGCUUGAAGAACGUUUGUUUUCCCUAUCCUUUCCUUGUUAACCAACAACCCAAGCCCCAUUACAACCCUUAACUUCUAUCUUGAGUGUUAUGUGUUUCAAUUUGUGGAGUUUGAAUUUGGUAUGAGCAUAUGGUGUCACUGGUUCUCGCAUCUAAGUAGUAGCAUUCCAUUCAUGAGAUCGUAUUUAAACAUGCUUCUUAACUCUAGAAAUUGCGUUCUUUGUGAUACAUAUAUGUGAGCAUUC
rnacentral:lncRNA from 1 species